UAAAUUAUGAGAUUAAAUCAAUAAAUAAUCAUUAAAAAAAAUUAAAACGAAAAGACUCAAUUUCAGUCAUUAUUCUUAUUUGUCUGAUUUAAAUUGAAACAAUCCUUAAUAUAUUCCAUCUUUCUGAGGCAGAGGGACAUUAUUCUUGGUUUUAUUAUAUUUAAUUUAAUAUCUCUGGAUAUUUUUCAUAAUUGGUUUGCGUACAACAGUUAACAACUUUAAGCUUAUACAUUAACUUUAGUUAUAACUUGAUUAUUAAUGAUUUGUUUUGUAGACUUUUAUAGCAAUACAAGAUUGAAUUUAGCAGAAGGCUAAACUUCUGCUCUGGAGACAAAAAAGGAAGACAGCAAAAAUGACCAGCCAAAAUAAAGAUUAAAGAAACAAAAAAUUGUGUAUAUCUUGGUGUAGAAGAUUUAUCCUCAAUUUCUUAUAAUAAAACUAAAAAUGUUAUUAAACUUUAAGAUUUACCUGUAACUCUAAACCUUUUACACAAGUUCAAUGUUUGCUCUGAGAAGUUGAAUGAACAAAGUUUAUUAAAUGAUAAAGUUGUAUCCCUAAAAGAUAUGCUGGUAUUAUUGGCACUAUGGGCAAGCAUUGAAGUGCAACUUGGUGAACUACAAAACACAUCAAAUAUAGUUAUAAAAAUUUGAGUAACAAAGGUAUGCUAAUUAUUGUAUUGCCUGAAAGAGUGUCAUUAAAAGUAAAGAAUUCAAGUACUCUGGAAGAAAAAAGACAAGAAAAGACUUAAUUAAAUGGUAAAUAUUUUUUUAUGAUCUGUUUAUGCGUUUUGUAUGAUAUCUUAGUAUGAUUUAUAUACAUUAAAUAAAAUAUUCAUUGAAGAUUUUUUGUAAAUGACAUUUUAUAUUAAUUUAAGUUACUUUAAUUAUUGCCAAGCUGUGUAUUUUUGCAGGUUAAUUAUUUGACACAAAUUAGAUUUAAGGACGAAGGAGAUUGUAUAUGUUAUUUACUAAGAAUAGUUUUUUAAAAUGGCCUAGCUGUAAAAUUAAGCUAUGCAGGUAGAAGACAAAAAAUUGGAAUAGGAAAAAUGUUGCUUGCAUAUGCUGCUAUUGAAACUGUGAAGUCAAAUAAGCAUAGCUUAUGCAGACAUUUGAUAGAGAUAGUGGAAAAAAAAUAAUAAAUAAUCGUGGGCACCAAAUACCAUAAGCUAAACACAAUUCAAUAACAAGUAGCUCAGCCAAUAUCGAAACUACUCUAUAAGUUUUGUAGUGAAUUUUUUUAUUUAAAACUCAAUGUGUCAGUUUUUGGUUUAGGUUUGUUGUUUGCAAUAUGUAUAUUUAACCGAGAAAUUAUGUUAAAUAAAUAAAUUUUUAUACUUGUA